UCUGCCAAGGGCAUAGCUGGGCAGCUAAGUGCGGAUUGGAUAAACGCUGAAAGCAUCUAAGCGUGAAGCCAACCUCAAGAUUAGAUUUCCCAUAGCAUAAGCUAGUAAGGUCCCCGGAAGACUACCGGGUUGAUAGGCUGCAUGUGUAAGCGUAGCGAUACGUGUGCUAGGCAGUACUAAUAGACCGAGGGCUUGACCUA
rnacentral:rRNA from 1 species